CCACCUGUUGUCUCUCUCUGACCCUAACCCACUGUGUCUGAUACUGUAGUAGUUAAUGGAAGCCGUGCAGACUGGCUGGGUCUCUAUUCACAUGGAGAUGAUGUCUUUCUGCAGUCUGGACUGAGCUUCGUCCACUGGUUCACACAGCAACACUGUGUGGUUUGCUAUCUAAUAGACGUGUGCCAACACUCUGGGUGUGACAUGCUUACUAAACACACUCAGCAGAUUAAUUGUCUGGCUAACUAACGUUAUCGGCUAACUACUAACGAGCCGACUAUAAAAAAUAAAAUAAAAAAUAUCUAGGUGCUAGCCAACGUUACUGAGUAAACAUUAGUCAACUUAGUUUAGCGGCCUAAUUUGCUCUAGAAACCCUACCAACUAGCUGCUUUGAGAUCAGUUAGCUAGCUAGCUACAUCUCUAAACACUAGCUGGUUAGCCAGGUUAGAUAUCUUGGUAAUGUAGAGAGCAGGUCAGUUAUAGGGGAAGUAGUUCGCUAGAAUAGCUCCUGAAUAGUCUAGUUAGGGCACUGGUUAGGUCUAGUUAGGACACUGGUUAGGUCUAGUUAGGACACUGGUUAGGUCUAGUUAGGACACUGGUUAGGUCUAGUUAGGACACUGGUUAGGUCUAGUUAGGACGCUGGUUAGGUCUAGUUAGGACACUGGUUAGGUCUAGUUAGGACACUGGUUAGGUCUAGUUAGGAUGCUGGUUAGGUCUAGUUAGGCCACCGUGGCAGGAGGACACUGGUUAGGUCUAGUUAGGACGCUGGUUAGGUCUAGUUAGGACACUGGUUAGGUCUAGUUAAGACGCUGGUUAGGUCUAGUUAAGACGCUGGUUAGGUCUAGUUAGGACGCUGGUUAGGUCUAGUUAGGACGCUGGUUAGGUCUAGUUAGGACACUGGUUAGGUCUAGUUAGGACGCUGGUUAGGUCUAGUUAGGCCACCGUGGCAGGAGGACACUGGUUAGGUCUAGUUAGGACGCUGGUUAGGU